UUCCAGCCGAGCUCCCUGAUUUUUGUCACAGCCGUCUUCCUCCCUUAUCCUCGCCGCCGCCCUGGUCUUCAAAAAAUCUGCCGCGCCGCUUCAGCUCUGGAUAAAAUCCCGCCGGUGCUGCCCAGCCGCUCCUUCCCCAGCGCAGACCGCUCCUUCUCCCUCCUCUACGCAGUGCCGCGUCCACCUCCAUCUUUGCCGGCUGGAGCUCCCUGGUGCUUGCUCCUCUGCAGUACGGAGCUCCUCCCUGAAGCUUCUAUCCCCUGCCAUGGCGCUUCGCUUCCCCUGCGGCAUUCUCCUUUCUCUAAUCUCCCUGCUCGCCGGCAGCAACAUCCAGCCGCGCAGCUCUUGACUCGCCGGCCGAGCUCUCUGCUCCUCCCUCUGUUCGCUCGCGUGAAGCCGCGCCUCUGCGCUCGCCCAGUCUUCGCGCGGCAGCUUUCCCCUGCCGGUGCCUAGCCCUGCGGCCCUCCUCUAUCCUCCCGAGCUUCUGCACAGCCAGCGCGCUCGAGCCCCUCUCAGCCAUGGUCGUUCCUCUGUGCUUGGGUUCAAGCUUCUGCGCGCCCUCCUCCCUCAGGGCGACGCUCCGGCUCCUGCUCGCUCUGCUCGCUUGGCUGACUCGCGCGCAUCCCUGGCUCGCCUGGUUCAUCGCGCGCACGCCCAGCGCCCUGGAUUCCCUGGCCGUCGCAGCCGAGGUCCUCCCCAUGGUGGCUUCCUCUGCCACGCCCAGCUCCCUCUGCUCCAUGCGCGCGAGCUCGCCGUCUCUGCUCGCUGCGCGCGCGCUCUGCAUCCAUGGCGGUCCCCAGCUCCCUCUGCCGGCCGUCGUCGAGCCCUCUGCACACGUACGCCGCGCCCAGCUCCAGCGCUUGUUCCCUGCUCCUAUGGCGGCCGAGCUCUCCGGUGCCGCGCGUUGAGCUCCCGGCCGUCGCUCAACUCGUCGGCGUGUGUCCUACUCCUUACGCGCCGUGUGCCGGAAAGUCCCUGCUUGCAAGCUAUCUGUUGGCCUCGCGCGAAGCUCUCUGUUCAUCGUCAUCGCUCGAUCGCUGCGUGUCGUGUGUCGCACAUCUUAGGUCCUCGUCGUUGGGUUUCGUGCGUGCUCGCGUUUACCGUCGAGUCGUCGAACCCGUCAUCCUCUGUUCAAACCCCACCUCACCAGCUCGCUUCAAACACCACCAGCUCGCUUCAAACACGAUCUCGUCGUCAAGCUUCGCUUUAGCCUUAGCUCGUCGGUCACGCUCGCCAGAUGUUCGAUCAAGGACUUCAGCUGAAGGCCGUCGUCGUUCAAGCAACUACCAAAUCGAGUUGUGAUGUGGCACUCUAAAUGUGGAGGGCUCCGGGAGUGCGCUAUCCACGCUGCUCGUCCACCAGCCGCCGCGAGGAAACUUCCGCGUCCUCCUACCCCGCGCUGGCGACUGCAUCUUCCGGGGCCGAGCCCUCGAUCCAGCGCGCUUCGCCGCCGGCAUCGAGGCAGGAGGGCGAGAAGCGGCCGUGCGGAGGCGGGUCUGUCGGCGUAGAGCUCGCACCCCUUCGAACCGAGGCCGCGCGACCCACCGCAACCCAAGAUCCAAGCCAGCUUCCCCCUGUUCGUCGCCGGAGAGUCGCCAUCGGCAAAAGGCUUCGUCGUCCACCGACUUCGUCGAAGGCAGCCGACAAAAGGAAGAGAAGCUCCUCGCCGCCGUCGUCUUCGUCUUCGAUUCGGUCCACCGAGCCAGAUCCGCAAAGAGCGAGCCAUGGAUUCGGAGAACGAAAAGCUCCGUAAAGCACUGGCUACUCUGCUCAGAGUUGUUCAAAAGCGUAGUUGUGACAUCGUUGAUGUCGUCAAAUCAGCCUUCCAGCCUUUCAACUCACCUUUGGUCGACGAAUUGAACCGAGCACUAGUUGAGAUUGACGACCUCGCCAAGGAUCUUGAAGACGUAGCAGUGCAAACUCAGUGGGAGGUAGAAAAUAUGGCUAACAGUCAAGUGAAAGAACAUCCACAUCAAGAGGAAGCAGUAGAGGACCUUCUCAUACAAGAUGGUUCAGAAGACGACCUACUGAUAGACGAAGAGUCACCAAUUAACUAUGAAGACCUUGUGGGCUACGACGAUGGUCGUGACUACUCAACCGACGACACAUAUCCGUACUAGUGUUCUAGGUUUAACUUCAGUAGAAGUAUUGUAGCAUGUUCAGGUCUAUGUUCAGGUGUACUUGUCGGUUGGUAUGAUCAUGCUUUUGGGGGAGUUUAAUGUUCUGGUCUAUGUAAACUGAAUCCGGUUCAGUUACUACAAUAAUUAUUGUGUUUUGUUGGACUCUGUUUGCCUUACUUUAUACCAUGUUACAUGAUGACUACAUGCUCAUUUGUAUCAUGUUUGAUCUGCCUCUAUUGCAUAGAAUGGGGAGUGAUUGGAACCAGGUGAUGUCUCAAUAUGGAAGCUUCCUUAGCCAGAUUGACGAGCAGCCUAUUGGAACACAACAUUCUGAAUUUCCAGUUGAUGGGCAACCCGAGGGCUCAAGAACACCAGCUGUUACUAAAAAGCCAACUCAAAGAACUAAGCUAGCAAACUUCACUGCUGAAGAGGACACAAGGGUAUGCCAUGCAUGGCUUGCUGUUAGUUGCGAUCCCAUUAUUAACACAGGGCAGAAACGUCAAGGAUUUUGGAGUAGGAUUACUCAAGCAUACAACUCAAGACGAGGAACAUUGCCAGAAAGGUCCACAAAAUCUUUGAUGAGUAGAUGGGAUACUAUCAAAACACAUUGUUCCACUUUUGCUGGAUACAUGAUGGCAGUCCUCCGACAGAAUCCUAGUGGACUCAGUGACGCAGACAAGACAUCACUGGCAGCUUCUAGGUUUGCAGCAAUUGAGAAGAAGCCUUUCCACUUUUUACACUGUUGGGCCAUUCUUAAGGACCAACCAAAAUGGAUGGACAACCACAUGGGUCAACAACAUCAGCAAGCCAACGCUAAUCCCACACAUUCUAACACUGUCGAUUUGGAUGCAGAAGAAUCUGUACCAUCAAGCUUCACAUCCAAGAGGCCACUUGGUCGAGAUUCUUCUAAGGAAAAGGCAAAGAGGACUAAAUCUGUGGACACAUCUUCAUCAGAUUCUGAGUUUAUGACACGCAUGGGAGAUCUUUCUUUGGAGCGCCUGUCAGUGUACAAAACAGCUGUUACAACUGAGGAAAAGAAGUUGGAUUCAAUGAACAGAAAUGAGGGGCAGAAAUUGCUCCUUGAAAAGAAGAAGUUGAACCUAGAGAAAUUAAGGCUUGAAAGGCAGAAACUAAAGGAGGACAAGGAAGAGGAGAUAAUGAUCUUAAGCAUGGAUUUGAGCAAAUGUAACCCUCUACUCCGCCAGUACUAUGAAGCCAAGCAACAAGAGAUACUGGCAAGGGUUACUGGGUCUACUUCAUCUGGCCAGUGAAGGUUCCUUACUUAAUAUGUUUGUUUGUCAUUUAUGAAUGAGGCGUACUCGGACUUGUUUCUGUGAGCUUGCUGUCGUCAGACCCUAAUCUGGUUUGUACCAGAUUUUUUUAGGUCGU
rnacentral:misc_RNA from 1 species